rnacentral:rRNA from 1 species
UACGUGAGGGUGCAAGCGUUGUCCGGAAUUAUUGGGCGUAAAGAGCUCGUAGGCGGUCUGUCGCGUCGGCUGUGAAAACCCGGGGCUCAACCCCGGGCCUGCAGUCGAUACGGGCAGACUAGAGUGCGGUAGGGGAGACUGGAAUUCCUGGUGUAGCGGUGAAAUGCGCAGAUAUCAGGAGGAACACCGGUGGCGAAGGCGGGACUCUGGGCCGAUACUGACGCUGAGGAGCGAAAGCGUGGGGAGCAAACAGG